rnacentral:rRNA from 1 species
GGAUGAGAAUAACCCCGGGAAACUGGGAUUAAUGCCCACUAGAUGAUUAUACCUGGAAUGGCUUAUCAUCGAAAGAGUCUGGAAACAUGCUUCCAGCGUCGCCCGAGGAUGGGACCGCGUCCGAUCAGGUAGUUGGUGGGGUAAUGGCCUACCAAGCCUAUAACCGGUACGGGCCCUGAGAGGGGGAGCCCGGAGAUGGAAACUGAGAAAAGGUUCCAGGCCCUACGGGGUGCAGCAGGCGCGAAACCUCCACAAUGCGCGAAAGCGUGAUGGGGUUAUCCCGAGUGCCGCCCGAUGAGGAUGGCUUUUAAUCGAUGUAAGGAUUCGAUAGAAUAAAGGGGGGGCAAGACUGGUGUCAGCCGCCGCGGUAAUACCAGCCCCCUGAGUGGUAAGGACGAUUAUUUGGCCUAAAGCGUUCGUAGCCGGCUUAUCAAGUCUUUUGUUAAAUCCAACGAUUCAAUCGUUGGGCUGCAAAAGAUACUGUUAUGCUAGAGGACGGGAGAGGUCGACGGUAGUCCAGGGGUAGGGGUGAAAUCCUAUAAUCCUUGGAGGACCACCAGUGGCGAAGGCGGUCGACUAGAACGUGCCUGACGGUGAGGGACGAAAGCUGGGGGAGCGAACCGGAUUAGAUACCCGGGUAGUCCCAGCUGUAAACGAUGCGGGCUAGGUGUUGGGGCAGCCACGAGCUGCUCCAGUGCCGCAGAGAAGUUGUUAAGCCCGCCGCCUGGGGAGUACGGCCGCAAGGCUGAAACUUAAA